UGGGGAAUUUUCCGCAAUGGGCGCAAGCCUGACGGAGCAAUACCGCGUGAGGGAGGAAGGCUCUUGGGUCGUAAACCUCUUUUCUUAGGGAAGAACACAAUGACGGUACCUAAGGAAUCAGCAUCGGCUAACUCCGUGCCAGCAGCCGCGGUAAUACGGAGGAUGCAAGCGUUAUCCGGAAUGAUUGGGCGUAAAGCGUCCGUAGGUGGUUUUGUAAGUCCGUGGUUAAAGCGCGAAGCUUAACUUCGUAAAGGCCAUGGAAACUACAAGACUUGAGUGAAGUAGGGGUAGAGGGAAUUCCCAGUGUAGCGGUGAAAUGCGUAGAGAUUGGGAAGAACACCGGUGGCGAAAGCGCUCUACUGGACUUAUACUGACACUGAGGGACGAAAGCUAGGGGAGCGAAAGGGAUUAGAUACCCCUGUAGUC
rnacentral:rRNA from 1 species